CUCUCAACCACUGCGCCACCAGGGAAGCCCCAAAAGACUUUAAAAAUCUGUACUCAAGAUGCUGAAAGUAGAGACCAAAAACAACACCUCCUUGAAAAUGGAUUUGAUUUACCCUCAAGACCACUGCAAAUAUUACCAGUUUGGUUAGAGCCAGCUGAGUCGGGAAGAACAUAAAGAUUUCAGAUACAAAUGUCAGUGGGUCGUGUAUGUGCAUGAUUGGAGAAGGAGAAAGAACUGAUGCAGUUGAUUCCACGGCACAUGAGAUAUCAUCUUAGCUCCUUUACACACAGCCUCAAAUGAACCUCCCAACGAUCCUUAUUCAGGAAUGCUUCCCAUCCUAUAGCAGAAGAACCUGAGACUCAAGAGAUAAUUUGUUCAAGACCUCAGUUCUGAAGUGAUACAACAGGGAUUCCUUCCCAGCCUUGUCUGAGUGCUGGUAAAGGCUUUCUUACUCGUGUCCUGGAAGUUGACGUCAUUGCCGUUAUACGCGUUCUUCAGUUUGUUGGUCAUCACACGGAGAGCCAUGAUCUGCUGCCUGAUGAAC